GGACGGCGUGUUCCCGCUCACCUGAUUUAUUAGCCCUGCUCCCACACACAGACGAGCGUUCUUCCCGGGAAGAAAAGCUGGAGACAGUCCCUUGGAAACAGCCAAGUGUUUGUCUGUGCUUUCAUUCCUCGGAGCAGAGGGAGAAAGGGAAAAAAAUACAGCAGGGAGAGCUUGAAAAAUCCGAGCAAUCAGAGGCACUUCCAGGGCUGGACGACAACAAGGAUUCAGGGUUUCUGUGGGGAAGGCUGGGCUGGAGACCUGAGGAGUUCUGCACAUUCCAAAAAACAAACAGCAGACUCAUCCUUGGGGGUUUGUUUGCAGAACUGCAGGAACCAGAGAUGGAAGAGACCCAUUAACUCAUCUGUCUGUUCCCUCCAGGGCAGAGCAGGGUUUCUCCCUGAGGGGGUUAUUUUUAGCACUCUGUCGAGCAGAGUUUUCAGCGUCUCAUGACACGGAGGUUUCUUUUCCAGGGAUUUAGAGUGAGCCCUGCCUGGGAAGGAAGGAGGCAACAGAGCCUCAGCUCUCCAGGGAUCUUUGUUCUUACAGAGAAGAGGAAAUGUGACAAUUGCUCUGGAAGAAGCUUCACACAGGCAUCCCACAUCCCAGGAGAUGUCAUACACCCUUGGAUGACUGGCACCUGUCCCCAGGCUCAGCAGGCAGAGGUAAGUUGUGCCAGAGGGUGAUUUCGGGCGUGGAUUUGGGGUGACUGUGCUCCCUGUGCUCUGCAGGGAGCCCGGAGAACCAGCACCAGAGCUGCCAAGCUGCUGCCCCAGGUCCAGGGCAGCUCUGGGCUCUCACACCCAUAGGAUAUUUCAAAGACAUCCUGGAUUAACAGCCUCAGCCUCCUCAGCAGGGUCUGGAGGGUCCAGCAUCACCUGCAGCUCCUGUGAUCCUGUGACAAGAGGCAUCAGCCUCGAGCUGUGCCAGGGGACGUUUAGGUUGGUUAUGAGGGAAAGUGUCUUCAUGGGAAGGGUGGUCAGGCAUGGAACAGGCUGUCCAGGGAGGUGGUGGAGUCCCCACCCCUGGAGGGAUUUAAAAGCCAUGUGGAUGUGGCACUUGGGGACAUGGGUCAGUGGUGGCCUUGGCAGUGCUGGGGAAUGGUUGGACUUGGUGGUCUUAGAGGACUUUUCCAGCCUAGAGGAUCCCAUGACUCUGUGAUUCCCUGGAUGGCAUUGCCAGCACUCCAAGGGCUGCUCAGCUCCUGCGAGGCUGCAGCUGCUGGACAAGGAUGGACAUUCCGGGACAUUCCAGGCUCUCUCCUGGACGUGUCUCUCCCUCCUUCCUGCGACUCCCUUUGAUCUCAGAAUUCCAAUUGCUCCCAGCCCCACCAGGACCACGCUCUGCCACAGGACAUUGCAAGGGCCACACACUGUCCUGGGGCACUGUGAGGGCCACACACUUCCAUGGAACAUGGGGAUGGCCAUGUGGUGCCAUGUGACAUCACAGUGGCCAUGCACUGCCACAGGACAUUCCAGUGGCCACACACUGCCAUGGGACAUUCCAAGGGUCACACACUGCCACAGGACAUUCCAAGGGUCACACACUGCCACAGGACAUUCCAAGGGUCACACACUGCCACAGGACAUGGUGAUGGCCGAAGUCCCAAGCAGGCUUGGGCCAUGCUGCUGAACAGUCUUGGCACAACCACUCCCCAUGCUGCAUCCCUGUGGGAUUCAGGACAUUCCCCCCCUGUUUUCCUCACCCUUUCCCCCCGCAGCCCCGAGCAGGAGGGGUUCUGUCCACACAGAGCUGGCCUGGGCUGUGUUCCCCCCCUGGGGGCACCUGGGUGAGCCAAGAGGUUUGGUUUUACUCUGCUGCACUUUGCCCAAAAACAUUGCCUGAACAUUAUCACAGGAACCUGCCAAAUCUUAAUUUUUCCAGUUUGCAAGUAAGAGCCUCUAAACCAUCUGUUUGCUGUCAACUGAUGUUUGUUUGGAGAGGGAUUUUAUUAUUUUUUUCCAUCUCGCACUCCUGUUCCUACAACUAGUUUACUGAACUCCAUAAACGUCAGCUCUCACAGUUGUUUUGUGAGCCAGUUAUGAUUUAGGAUUUAAUCAAAA